rnacentral:rRNA from 1 species
AAAGCUCCAGCUUGCUGGAGCAAGUAAAGUGGCGCACGGGUGAGUAACGCGUGGGUAAUCUACCUUCAAAUCGGGGAUAACACCGCGAAAGCGGAGCUAAUACCGGAUACUAUUUCAAUGUCUAAGGGCGAUGAAAUUAAAGGGGGUCUCUACAUGUAAGCUUCCGUUUGAAGAUGAGCCCGCGUCCCAUUAGCUUGUUGGCGGGGUAACGGCCCACCAAGGCACCGAUGGGUAGCUGGUCUGAGAGGAUGAUCAGCCACACUGGCACUGACACACGGGCCAGACUCCUACGGGAGGCAGCAGUGAGGAAUUUUGCGCAAUGGGGGAAACCCUGACGCAGCAACGCCGCGUGAGUGAUGAAGGCUUUCGGGUCGUAAAACUCUGUCAAGUGGGAAGAAACUGCUUUGUGCGAAUAACACAGAGUACUGACGGUACCACUGAAGGAAGCACCGGCUAACUCCGUGCCAGCAGCCGCGGUAAUACGGAGGGUGCAAGCGUUACUCGGAAUUACUGGGCGUAAAGGGCGCGUAGGCGGUCAAUUAAGUCAGAUGUGAAAGCCCGGGGCUUAACCCCGGAAGUGCAUUUGAAACUGCUUGACUUGAGUAUGGGAGAGGGAAGCGGAAUUCCUGGUGUAGAGGUGAAAUUCGUAGAUAUCAGGAGGAACACCGGUGGCGAAGGCGGCUUCCUGGACCAAUACUGACGCUGAGGCGCGAAGGCGUGGGGAGCAAACAGGAUUAGAUACCCUGGUAGCCCACGCAGUAAACGGUGAACACUAGGUGUAGCGGGUAUUGACCCCUGCUGUGCCGCAGCUAACGCAUUAAGUGUUCCGCCUGGGAAGUACGGCUCAAGGUUAGAACUCAAAGGAAUUGACGGGGGCCCGCACAAGCGGUGGAGCAUGUGGUUUAAUUCGACGCAACGCGAAGAACCUUACCUGGGUUUGACAUCCCGAGAAGUCUCCUGAAAGGGAGAUGUGCCCUUCGGGGAGCUCGGAGACAGGUGCUGCAUGGCUGUCGUCAGCUCGUGUCGUGAGAUGUUGGGUUAAGUCCCGCAACGGGCGCAACCCCUGUCUCUAGUUGCCAGCAUUAAGUUGGGGACUCUAGAGAUACCGCCCCGGUCAACGGGGAGGAAGGUGGGGAUGACGUCAAGUCCUCAUGGCCUUUAUAUCCAGGGCUACACACGUGCUACAAUGGAUUGUACAAAGGGUUGCGAACCUGCGAAGGUAAGCUAAUCCCAAAAACCAGUCCGUAGUUCGGAUUGAAGUCUGCAACUCGACUUCAUGAAGCUGGAAUCGCUAGUAAUCGUGGAUCAGCAUGCCACGGUGAAUACGUUCCCGGGCCUUGUACACACCGCCCGUCACACCAUGAGAGUUGGUUGUACCAGAAGUUGUUGGGCCAACCCGUAAGGGGGGCAGGCACCUAAGGUAUGGCUGAUGAUUGGGGUGAAGUCGUAACAAGGUA